AACGAACGCUGGCGGCAUGCUUAACACAUGCAAGUCGAACGGUAACAGGCCCGCAAGGGUGCUGACGAGUGGCGCACGGGUGAGUAACACGUGAAUAACCUGCCCAAAGCACUGGGAUAACAUAUCGAAAGAUGUGCUAAUACCGGAUGAAAUAUAUGACUGCAGGGAUGUAUAUUAAAGGAGCAAUCCGGCAAUGGAGGGGUUCGCGUCCCAUUAGGUAGUUGGUAAGGUAACGGCUUACCAAGCCAAAGAUGGGUAGCUGGUUUGAGAGAAUGAUCAGCCACACUGGAACUGAGAAACGGUCCAGACUCCUACGGGAGGCAGCAGUGAGGGAUAUUGCACAAUGGAGGGAACUCUGAUGCAGCAAUGCCGCGUGAGUGAAGGAGGCCCUAUGGGUUGUAAAGCUCUGUGGAUGGGGAAAAUAAUGAUGGUACCCAUUUAGAAAGCACCGGCUAACUACGUGCCAGCAGCCGCGGUAAUGU
rnacentral:rRNA from 1 species